rnacentral:rRNA from 1 species
UACGUAGGGACGAGCGUUGUCCGGAAUUAUUGGCGUAAAGAGCUCGUAGGCGGUUUGUCGCGUCGAAUGUGAAACCCCGCGGCUUAACUGCGGGACUGCAUCGAUACGGGCAGGGCUAGAGUUCGGUAGGGGAGGACUGGAAAUUCCUGGUGUAGCGGUGAAAUGCGCAGAUAUCAGGAGGAACGACCAGUGGCGAAGGCGGCUCACUGGACCGGAACUGACGCUGGAGGCGACGAAAGCGUGGGGAGCAAACAGG